UUUGAAGAGAGAGUUCAAAAGUACGUGAAACUGUUCAGAGGUAAACGGGUGGGCCCUCGAAAUCCUGUGGCGGGGAGAUUCAGUGGGUCGGCGUGCUGCGGUUGUUAGUGCGGUAACCAUGAAGGGCCGCUAGAACUGACCGACGGCGUGCUGGCCUUCGCAUUUGAUUCCCGCCCGAAGGACGCCGCAACCGGUUGGGAGACGGAUAGAAUAGACAGGUGGGUACUCUGGCGGAACUGAAUGUUCGCCAUCUUCCGUUGGAUGUUGCCCCUGUUGACUGUCUCGUUUUCCGACCGUGGUAUCGCGAGGCCCGGACGGGCUUCUCCGCCUCCUCCUGAUAAGGCGGUAUUUCCGCGCAAGAGUUGCUCUUUGUGCGGGCGCACGUUCUCACUACGUGGCCCUGUGCAUUUGAAGUGCUCGUGACACGCGUGAUGUUCUCGCUGGAGUGCUGGUGGUUCGCGGCGAGUAGAUCGGUAACCCACCCGACCC
rnacentral:rRNA from 2 species